rnacentral:rRNA from 1 species
UACGAAGGGUGCAAGCGUUACUCGGAAUUACUGGGCGUAAAGCGUGCGUAGGUGGUUCGUUAAGUCUGAUGUGAAAGCCCCGGGCUCAACCUGGGAAUGGCAAUGGAAACUGGCGGGCUGGAGUAUGGCAGAGGGGGGUGGAAUUCCGCGUGUAGCAGUGAAAUGCGUAGAGAUGCGGAGGAACACCGAUGGCGAAGGCAGCCCCCUGGGCCAAUACUGACGCUCAGGCACGAAAGCGUGGGGAGCAAACAGG